AUUGAACGCUGGCGGCAUGCCUUACACAUGCAAGUCGAACGGUAACAGGUCUUCGGAUGCUGACGAGUGGCGAACGGGUGAGUAAUACAUCGGAACGUGCCUAGUAGUGGGGGAUAACUACUCGAAAGAGUGGCUAAUACCGCAUGAGAUCUACGGAUGAAAGCAGGGGAUCGCAAGACCUUGUGCUACUAGAGCGGCCGAUGGCAGAUUAGGUAGUUGGUGGGAUAAAAGCUUACCAAGCCGACGAUCUGUAGCUGGUCUGAGAGGACGAUCGGCCACACUGGGACUGAAACACGGCCCAGACUCCUACGGGAGGCAGCAGUGGGGAAUUUUGGACAAUGGGCGCAAGCCUGAUCCAGCAAUGCCGCGUGCAGGAUGAAGGCCUUCGGGUUGUAAACUGCUUUUGUACGGAACGAAAAGCCCUGGGUUAAUACCCUGGGGUCAUGACGGUGCCGUAAGAAUAAGCACCGGCUAACUACGUGCCAGCCGCCGCCGUAA
rnacentral:rRNA from 1 species